UCUUAUUAUAUUAUUUAUUAAUCUUAUUAAUUCUAAUUAAUGUUUGUUAUUAAUUAUUUUCUGUUUAUCGCUAUAUUUAUUAUUGUCUCUCAGUGUCAAGACCAGUGGUAGACCACACUCCAGAGGUACACAGUGUGGUAGACCACACUCCAGAGGUACAUAGUGUGGGUAGACCACGCUCCAGAGGUACACAAUGUGGUAGACCACACUCCAGAGGUACACAGUGUGGUAGACCACGCUCCAGAGGUACACAGUGUGGUAGACCACGCUCCAGAGGUACACAGUGUGGUAGACCACGCUCCAGAGGUACACAGUGUGGUAGACCACGCUCCAGAGGUACAUAGUGUGGGUAGACCACGCUCCAGAGGUACACAGUGUGGUAGACCACACUCCAGAGGUACACAGUGUGGUAGACCACACUCCAGAGGUACACAGUGUGGGUAGACCACACUCCAGAGGUACACAGUGUGGGUAGACCACGCUCCAGAGGUACACAGUGUGUUGAACAUGCAAAAGUGUCUGUCUGUCGUCUUGUGUGAAGAACCGCUGUC